rnacentral:rRNA from 1 species
AACGAACGCUGGCGGCAUGCCUAACACAUGCAAGUCGAACGAAGGCUUCGGCCUUAGUGGCGCACGGGUGCGUAACGCGUGGGAAUCUACCCUUAGGUUCGGAAUAACUCAGAGAAAUUU